rnacentral:lncRNA from 1 species
UUUCAAUAGCAGACCGGAAGUUCGAAAGUGGGUGGAUAGGUACCGAAAACAGGCUUUUAUGUCCACUUGCCCUUCACUUUAGAUUUCCUUUUGAGUCGACUCACCUUUUUUUUUUUUGUGAAAAUCAGCUACUUAGUUAAAAACGCACACACACACACACACACACACACACACACACAUUUUCAUCAAUGGGGCCUUGUGAAUAAUUCACUGUUCGCUCGCUCUCUCUUCUUUCCCUCCCGUUAAAAGCAAUCAAUUUAAUUUGGUAGCUUCUUUCCUGAGCCACCGGAACUUUAAGAAGCCUUUGCAACUUUCUUAGAACUCAGACCUCAAAAAGAACCCUUGAAAAGUCCUGCUGUUUCUCUCCUUAACUAGUCACCUCAAUCUGAAGAACUAAGGGCCUUUCAUUUUGAGUACACCCUGCUGCUUUUUAAUAAUCUCCGAGUGAAUUAGGCAUUUUCGCCUUCAGGUUACAGCUUUUGCAAAUAAUGUUUCCUUCCAAUCAUGAAGAAAAUAUUUUAAUACUUUCUGAGACUCUGAACAACCUGUUAUGUGGAAAAAGUACCCAGUGUCUCAUCUAAAUUGAACUAACUUCAUUUGCAGAUAUAGAUAUACAGCUGAUUUUUGAAAGACUGUUGUUGUUUUUUCUUAAUUAGAACAAAAAUUUAAGAACACAUUUUGCUUGUCAAUAGGCUAAGGCAAUUUUACUUAUUUAGAAAGCGUUUUGAAUUGGAGUCAGGAAUAGCCCUUCCUGUCUCUGGUUUCUAAGCACUCUCAGUUUGUGCCGAUUAAGUAGCAAACCAUUUGGUUGCACUCCUUGCCACCGGGGAACUGACAGGACACUAAAUAUCGUUGCAGUGUAGCAAAGCAUGGAGAUGCUCUGAGGACAGCAGAGCUGAAAACAUGAAUACAAUGCAUAAGCUUUUGCCUGGAUGGCAGCAGGGUGAUGGGAAUCGGGAAUCAACAGAAAUAUGAAAUUGUGCGGUAUUUGGAUUUGCUCAAUGUUAAGAAAAGUAUUUUAGAAAGCAGAGAAAGCGGUGUGAUGAUUUUUCCAUGGAAGCCUAGAAGGAUCAACUGCUUAAACAAAUGCCACAUUAAUGUAUUUGUGAAUGGGCAGAUUCCUCAUCUGGAGUCUUGAUACGUACCUUCCAAGGGCACUUGUUGUUUCGUCAGAGAAUUAAGGCUGCACAUCUCAAUGGAGCUUCCAUGUGACAUCCACUGCUGAAGGUUAAACAAAAUCAAAAGUACUUCUGGAAAGAACAGAAAGGAACUUUUGAGAUCUCCCCACCUCUAGUCUUCACUAGGGCCCAGGGGAUGCUUUCAGAAGUAGAGCAUGAUGGAGUGUUGGCUCCCAGAAGCCCACCUUCUUGUCUUGAGCAGAAUAUCAAAGUGAAGGCGGCCUUUCUGAGAGAGCUUCCUCUCAUGCUGGGCCCUACUGAAAGACCAUUAUUAACCCCAACAAUUCAUGUCCAAGUGGCAUCAAUCAUUUGGGUCAC